rnacentral:tRNA from 1 species
GACACUGAGGGGAUUAGCUGACUCUUAAUCAGCGGGUCUAGGGUUCGAGUCCCUACAGGGUCA